rnacentral:rRNA from 1 species
UACGUAGGGGGCAAGCGUUGUCCGGAAUUAUUGGGCGUAAAGCGCGCGUAGGCGGACCUGCAAGUCGGAGGUGAAAGCCCGAGGCUCAACCUCGGAACUGCCUUCGAUACUGCGGGUCUCGAGUCCGGGAGAGGUGAGUGGAAUUCCUAGUGUAGAGGUGAAAUUCGUAGAUAUUAGGAAGAACACCAGUGGCGAAGGCGGCUCACUGGCCCGGUACUGACGCUGAGGCGCGAAAGCGUGGGGAGCAAACAGG